UAUCUCUGUAGAGUCUGCAUAUCAAUAAGCGGAGGAAAAGAAACUAACUAGGAUUCCCUCAGUAACGGCGAGUGAAGCGGGAAGAGCUCAAAUUUGAAAUCUUCAAGGUUCUACCUUGACGAAUUGUAGUUUUAAAAGAAGUGUUUUCUGUUGAAGUUUCGGUAAAAGUUCUUUGGAAUAGGACAUCAUAGAGGGUGAGAAUCCCGUAUUUGACCGUUAUUUUCAGCUGUGUGAUACACUUUCAAAGAGUCGGAUUGUUUGGGAAUGCAGUCCAAAAUGGGUGGUAAAUUUCAUCUAAAGCUAAAUAUUGGCGAGAGACCGAUAGCGAACAAGUACCGUGAGGGAAAGAUGAAAAGAACUUUGAAAAGAGAGUUAAACAGUACGUGAAAUUGUCAAAAGGGAAGCGUUUGACACCAGUGUUGUUUUCUCGAAAAUCAAUUAAAAAAUGGCUUGAUUUUGUGUUGUAUUGACCUUAAAAGCUUUCUUGCACUUUUUCAUGUCUUUUUUAAUGCACUUUUCGUUUAACAAGUCAACAUCAGUUUCUUUUGUUGUAAGAAGGGUCAUUGGAAGGUGGCUUUCUUUUCGGAGAAAGUGUUUAUAGCCUUUGACUUCUGCAAUCGGAGAGACAGAGGUCUGCAGCGUAGAUCCUUCUGGAGUUAGAUUACAUUUGUGCUAAGUUACUAAGCCGUUUAUAGACAACUUGUUGACUAUGAUUCAGAUCCUGUAGCUUACUCGCUUAUGUAAUUUUACCUACGCUUAGGAUGUUGAUCUGUAGUGCGUGCGC
rnacentral:rRNA from 1 species